UUUUAUUUUCUAAGAUAUUCUAAUCGGAACUUUCAAUAUUUCAGAUCGUUCUUCAAAAUGUAGGGACAUCUAAUUAAUAUGGACUUAAACUCAUUUUGAAGAGUCUGAAGCUUAAACAUGUAUGGUGAUUUAUGGAUAACUUUAACCUUUUGGCUGUGAUCCCACAAGCUUUCAAAGGCAAAGGCCAGCUCCCGGCUUAGAUGAGGCUACGGGCUCUGAACUACUGCAAAAGCGCCGAAUCAGGCUGCUCGAUGUUUUA